GCUUAACUGCAUUUUUUUACACAUGUGUUUUUCUUUUUUUGAAAACUUUGCUUUGGUGGGCCCACGGCCUGCCAGAGAUUAAACUCAACCAAAUUUUAUUUAAAGUCAACUGAUUAACUAAUAGUCAAAACUUUCAACAACGGAUCUCUUGGUUCUCGCAUCGAUGAAGAACGCAGCGAAAUGCGAUAAGUAAUAUGAAUUGCAGAUAUUCGUGAAUCAUCGAAUCUUUGAACGCACAUUGCGCCCUUUGGUAUUCCAAAGGGCAUGCCUGUUUGAGCGUCAUUUCUCCCUCAAACCUUCGGGUUUGGUGUUGAGCGAUACGCUGGGUUUGCUUGAAAGAAAGGCGGAGUAUAAACUAAUGGAUAGGUUUUUUUCCACUCAUUGGUACAAACUCCAAAAUUCUUCCAAAUUCGACCUCAAAUC
rnacentral:misc_RNA from 1 species